rnacentral:rRNA from 1 species
UUAACUUGAAAUAGUGUACUGGCAAGAGUGUGCUUUUGUGGCCUCUUGACUGAGAUAAUGUAUUAGGUUCUACCAACUCGUUAUAGCAGCUCAACUGUCCCUUUGGCAUAUCAGCUCGGCCUGACAACUCCAUCUAAAGUUUGACCUCAAAUCAGGUAGGACUACCCGCUGAACUUAAGCAUAUCAAUAAGCGGAGGAAAAGAAACCAACAGGGAUUGCCUCAGUAACGGCGAGUGAAGCGGCAAAAGCUCAAAUUUGAAAUCUGGUACCUUUGGUGCCCGAGUUGUAAUUUGAAGAUAGUUUUCUGGUGCUGGCCCUUGUCUAUGUUCCUUGGAACAGGACGUCACAGAGGGUGAGAAUCCCGUCUGGCGGGGUGUCCAGUGCUUUGUAGAUUUCUAUCGACGAGUCGAGUUGUUUGGGAAUGCAGCUCUAAGUGGGUGGUAAAUUCCAUCUAAAGCUAAAUAUUGGCGAGAGACCGAUAGCGAACAAGUACAGUGAUGGAAAGAUGAAAAGAACUUUGAAAAGAGAGUGAAAAAGUACGUGAAAUUGUUGAAAGGGAAGGGUAUUAGAUCAGACUUGGUGUUUUGUGAUUAUCUUCCCUUCUUGGGUUGUGCACUCGCAUUUCACUGGGCCAGCAUCGGUUCGGGUGGUAAGAUAAUGACAUUGGAACGUGGCACUGCCUUCGGGUGGUGUGUUAUAGCCCUUGUUGAUGUUGCCUACCUGGACCGAGGACUGCGGCUUUUGCCUAGGAUGCUGGCGUAAUGAUCUAACACCGCCCGUCUUGAAACAUGGACCAAGGAGUCUAACGUCUAUGCGAGUGUUUGGGUGU